rnacentral:lncRNA from 1 species
AAUGGUCACAUAUAUCAAAUGGUGGGUCACAUACCAUCAUUACCAACACUAUCGCAUCGCCACUGCCACAAAAAUCACUUGCGACCACCUCACCCCAUUAUCACCACCACCAUCGCCAUCAACAAUAUCAACACCACCCACAUCAACACUGCCAACACGAGCACCUCCACCAUUGCUAGAAACCACCACGACCACCACCACCAAAUACACCAACAAUACCUAACCAGCCACCUCACCAAUAACCAACAUCUCCGCCACGACCACCGUCUGAAACCAUCACAGCCACAAGGACCAUAACCACACCCAGAAACCACCACCAAAAACAUACAACAAUACACCACUCCACAACCUCACCAAAACCACACACAUCAGCAACACAGGCAGAAGCAGCAAAAAGGGUUAGAACCAGUAGCAACCGCACUCGUCCUCGGCUACGAUGACGACAUCAUCGCUCACAGUAUGUUGCAGUGUCGCCAAUCACACACUUAACGAAGGAGAGGCGGAUCUGUAGAGAGGAUGGGAAAGGAGAGAGUGAGAAAGAGAUGUCGGACGAAGAAAAGCUGGAUCUGCAGAAUCACCGUUUGCACAAGUUGCCGUUCGCAGCAGGUGAUGCGGUUGGAAUCAGCUUCACCCCACGACGCUGUUGAUGACUCUCAACAGUCCCCAAUGUUAGCCGCGUC